GAUGAACGCUGGCGGCGCGCCUAACACAUGCAAGUCGAACGAUUAAAGCACCUUUUAGGUGUGUAUAAAGUGGCGAACGGCUGAGUAACACGUGGGCAACCUGCCCUCCUCUUGGGGAUAGCCUCGGGAAACCGAGGAUAAUACCCGAUACUUCACUUGAGCCGCAUGGCUCAAGUGAGAAAGCUUUUGCGGAGAAGGAUGGGCCCGCGGCCUGUUAGCUUGUUGGUGGGGUAGAGGCCUACCAAGGCAAUGAUGGGUAGCUGGGUUGGGAGACCGACCAGCCAGAUUGGGACUGAGACACGGCCCAGACUCCUACGGGAGGCAGCAGUGGGGAAUCUUGCACAAUGGGCGAAAGCCUGAUGCAGCGACGCCGCGUGCGGGACGAAGGCCUUCGGGUUGUAAACCGCUUUCAGCAGGGACGAGGCGUAAG
rnacentral:rRNA from 1 species